rnacentral:rRNA from 1 species
GACGAACGCUGGCGGCGUGCUUAACACAUGCAAGUCGAACGGAAAGGCCCUGCUUUUGUGGGGUGCUCGAGUGGCGAACGGGUGAGUAACACGUGAGUAACCUGCCCUUGACUUUGGGAUAACUUCAGGAAACUGGGGCUAAUACCGGAUAGGAGCUCCUGCUGCAUGGUGGGGGUUGGAAAGUUUCGGCGGUUGGGGAGGGACUCGCGGCUUAUCAGCUUGUUGGUGGGGUAGUGGCUUACCAAGGCUUUGACGGGUAGCCGGCCUGAGAGGGUGACCGGCCACAUUGGGACUGAGAUACGGCCCAGACUCCGACGGGAGGCAGAAGUGGGGAAUAUUGCACAAUGGGCGGAAGCCGGAUGCAGCAACGCCGCGUGCGGGAUGACGGCCUUCGGGUUGUAAACCGCUUUCGCCUGUGACGAAGCGUGAGUGACGGAAAUGGGUAAAGAAGCACCGGCUAACUACGU